rnacentral:rRNA from 1 species
UACUCCAUAAUAUAUUGGAUUGGCAUCAAUUGAUAUUGAAAGCUCCGGCGGAUAGAGAUGGGCACGCGCAAGAUUAGUUAGUUGGUGAGGUAACGGCUCACCAAGACGAUGAUCUUUAGGGGGCCAGAGAGGGUGAUUCCCCACACUGGUACUGAGACACGGACCAGACUCCUACGGGAGGCAGCAGUGAGGAAUAUUGGUCAAUGGGUGCAAGCCUGAACCAGCCAUCCCGCGUGAAGGACGACUGCCCUAUGGGUUGUAAACUUCUUUUGUAUAGGGAUAAACCUACCCUCGUGAGGGUAGCUGAAGGUACUAUACGAAUAAGCACCGGCUAACUCCGUG